GCCAGAGGGGGCAAGCGUUGCUCGGAAUCACUGGGCGUAAAGGGCGCGUAGGCGGGAUGGCAAGUCAGUCGUGAAAUCUCUCGGCUCAACCGAGAAACGUCGGCUGAUACUGCCGUUCUUGAGGGAUGCAGAGGAGACUGGAAUUCCCGGUGUAGCGGUGAAAUGUGUAGAGAUCGGGAGGAACACCGGUGGCGAAGGCGGGUCUCUGGGCAUCUCCUGACGCUGAGGCGCGAAAGCGUGGGGAGCGAACAGG
rnacentral:rRNA from 1 species